rnacentral:rRNA from 1 species
CCCUGGCUCAGGACGAAACGCUGGCGGCAUGCCUAAUACAUGCAAGUCGAGCGGAGUUUGAAUGGAAGCUUGCUUCCAUUCUUACUUAGCGGCGGACGGGUGAGUAACACGUAGGCAACCUGCCCUCAAGACUGGGAUAACUACCGGAAACGGUAGCUAAUACCGGAUAAUUUCUUUCCUCUCCUGAAGAGAGAAUGAAAGGCGGAGCAAUCUGCCACUUGGGGAUGGGCCUGCGGCGCAUUAGCUAGUUGGUGGGGUAACGGCUCACCAAGGCGACGAUGCGUAGCCGACCUGAGAGGGUGAACGGCCACACUGGGACUGAGACACGGCCCAGACUCCUACGGGAGGCAGCAGUAGGGAAUCUUCCGCAAUGGGCGAAAGCCUGACGGAGCAAUGCCGCGUGAGUGAUGAAGGUUUUCGGAUCGUAAAGCUCUGUUGCCAGGGAAGAACGUCCGGUAGAGUAACUGCUACCGGAGUGACGGUACCUGAGAAGAAAGCCCCGGCUAACUA